rnacentral:rRNA from 1 species
CAACUUUCAACAACGGAUCUCUUGGUUCUGGCAUCGAUGAAGAACGCAGCGAAAUGCGAUACGUAGUGUGAAUUGCAGAAUUCAGUGAAUCAUCGAAUCUUUGAACGCACAUUGCGCCCUUUGGUAUUCCAAAGGGCAUGCCUGUUCGAGCGUCAUUUGUACCCU